rnacentral:rRNA from 1 species
AGAGUUUGAUCAUGGCUCAGGACGAACGCUGGCGGCGUGCUUAACACAUGCAAGUCGAACGGAAAGGCCCUUCGGGGUACUCGAGUGGCGAACGGGUGAGUAACACGUGGGUGAUCUGCCCUGCACUUUGGGAUAAGCCUGGGAAACUGGGUCUAAUACCGAAUAGGACCGCGCGCUUCAUGGUGUGUGGUGGAAAGCUUUUGCGGUGUGGGAUGGGCCCGCGGCCUAUCAGCUUGUUGGUGGGGUAAUGGCCUACCAAGGCGACGACGGGUAGCCGGCCUGAGAGGGUGACCGGCCACACUGGGACUGAGAUACGGCCCAGACUCCUACGGGAGGCAGCAGUGGGGAAUAUUGCACAAUGGGCGCAAGCCUGAUGCAGCGACGCCGCGUGAGGGAUGACGGCCUUCGGGUUGUAAACCUCUUUCACCAGGGACGAAGCGCAAGUGACGGUACCUGGAGAAGAAGCACCGGCCAACUACGUGCCAGCAGCCGCGGUAAUACGUAGGGUGCGAGCGUUGUCCGGAAUUACUGGGCGUAAAGAGCUCGUAGGUGGUUUGUCGCGUUGUUCGUGAAAACUCACAGCUUAACUGUGGGCGUGCGGGCGAUACGGGCAGACUAGAGUACUGCAGGGGAGACUGGAAUUCCUGGUGUAGCGGUGGAAUGCGCAGAUAUCAGGAGGAACACCGGUGGCGAAGGCGGGUCUCUGGGCAGUAACUGACGCUGAGGAGCGAAAGCGUGGGGAGCGAACAGGAUUAGAUACCCCGGUAGUCC